CGUCAAGUCAUCAUGCCCCUUAUGCCCAGGGCUGCAAACACGCUACAAUGGCCGGUACAAAGGGCUGCGAUCCCGCGAGGGUGAGCGAAUCCCACAAAGCCGGUCUCAGUUCGGAUUGGAGUCUGCAACUCGCCUGCAUGAAGCUGGAAUCGCUAGUAAUCGCGGAUCAGCACGCCGCGGUGAAUACGUUCCCGGGCCUU
rnacentral:rRNA from 1 species